GAUUCCUAUAAAGACACACAGGAAUGAUUAUCAGUAAAAAUCCAAUAACAUUUAUGGAUUGCUUUGGAAACAAAUAUAAAGGUUGAAUUUGGUGAACACAUUUUUAUAGGACUUUUUCUUAAUUUUUAUUGGAAUAUAGCUUAUUGAUUUGUGGGAGUUCUUUUUAUUGUUUACCUUUUAUAAAAUGUCUAUUUAUUUUUGAGAGAGAGAGCAUGAGGUGUGGAGGGACAGAGAGAGAGACAUAGCAGGCUCCAGGCUGAGCUGUCACCACAGAGCCCCAGGUUGGGCUCAAACCCACCAACCGUGAGGUCAUGACCUGAGCCAAAGUUGGAUGCUUAACCAACUGAGCCACCCAGGCGCCCCAGGAGUUCUGUAUUCUUAGUGCACAUCUUUGUUGUUUAUAUAUGUUGCAAAUAGCUUUUCCCACUCCUAUAAUGAUGUCUCUUGAGGAACUGAAGUCACUGAUUAAUUAGGCAGUGUGACAAUUGAUCUUUUCCUAAUGAUUUCUGUAUCCUGUUUAAGAAAACUUUUCCUCCCCAAGGUCUUGGGGAGGAUUUGGGGUUACCUUCUCUAAAAGGCUCACUGUUUUGUUUCUCACAUUAGAUCUGUAAUCCACCUGGAAUGGCUGUUUAAUGAAAGUCAGGUGGGGAAAGUUCGGCCACAUGGGCAUUCCGUUGAUCCAGCAGGACUUGCUGAGAAGUCUGCCUUUCUUUGCUGCACCUGUACUGCCACGCGGUCAGGAGUCAAGGGUCUACCUGUGCGUGGAUGGACCUGUUUCUAGAUUUUCAUUAGUUUUACCCUUUUCCCAGUACAGGUUUAUCCCUCCACUUGUUUAGGUCUUCUUUAAUCUCUCCCACAGUGUUUUGUCGAUUUAUUUGUAGAGCUUUUGCCUAUCUCUUUCUAGAUUUAUUCCUAGGGAGUUGAUUUCUCGAUGUUCUUAUUUAUGGUUAACUUUGUUUUCACCAUUGUCUGUGACUUGUUGAUUUGAGUACAUUCACCUAGUGGGCAGCAAUCAUGCUAAUAAACUCACUCUAAUAGCUUUUCAGGUUCUUUUUGAUUUUUUUGUGUACACAAUCACGUUACCCACGGAUAGCGAACGUUUUUCUUUUCUAGUCGCUGUGCCUCUAAUUUUUUUCUUGCCUUAUCGGACUGGCUACGAUACUAGCUUGAACAGUGUUGAGCGGAAGUGGUAAUGGUGGCUAACCUCACCUUUUCCUGAUCUCAGAAGGCAAGUUUGCAACUGCUGGCCACUGAGUAUCAGGCUUUGGUGUAGAUCCCAUUGGUCAGCUUUAGUUCCUUUCUACACCUGUUUCCUAAGACCUCUUGUGGACGGAUGGUGAAUUUUACCAGGUAUCCUUUCUGUAUAGAUUGAGAAGAGAGCUUAUUUAUUCUUUUAUUCUGUUAACAUGAUAGAGAACACUGGUUGGUUUUUGAAUGUUAAACCGUGUUCAUAGAAUGGACCCAAGAGGGUGGUUGGGUGACAUAUUGCAGGAUUUUAUUUACUGCUGCUUUAUUUAGGAUUUUCUAAUCUGUGGUUGUGAGUGAGGCUGCUGGGUAAUUUCUUUUCUUCUCUCUCUCUUUUUUUUUAAUGUUCUUGCUAAGUUUUGGUAUCAAGGUUAUUCUGUCCUCAUAACAUGAAUUGUAAAGUGUUUCAUCUUUUUUUGUUCUCUGGGAGUUUGUUAAAGGCUGACAUUAUUUUUUCCUUAAAUAUUAGGUAGAAUUCUCCAGUUAGGGCAUCUGGUCUAGAGUUUCUUUAAUAGUUAUGGAAUUGUCCUGGAGUAUUUCUUCUCGUGUCAGUUUUGCUAGUUUAUAUUUUUGAAGUGAUUUGUUCAUUUUUUAAAAGUUAAUCUAUUUUGAGAGAGAGAGAGAGGGUGCACGAGUGGGGGAGGGGAAAAGAAGGAGAGAGAGAAUCCUAAGCAGGCUUCACACUGUCAGCACAGAGCCUGAUGCGGGGCUUGAUCCCACGAACCAUGAAAUCAUGACCUGAGCCGAAAUCGAGAGUCAGACCCUCCACCGACUGAGACACCUGGGCAUCCUCAAGACAUCUGAUUUUAGCUAACGAGUUGAAAACUUACUUUGAUGAACUGUGACAUAGGCUCAUCCAUGCUGUGAUAAUCACCAGACCAAACAGUUCCCUAUAAAACAGCAUACAUUUCAGAUAUUUGAAGUAGCUGCAAAUGACCUGCGAAUCGUCCCUUUCUCUCCGUGACCACCAGCUGCUGCUAUUAGAUGACCUUCCCCCAAGAUACGUAGCAUCUACAGAAUAUUUUCAAGUCUGGCCAUGAGUCAUAAGUUACUUCUUUCAGACAAUUUAAAGCCUUAUAUGAACACAGGUUUCGUCUUAUGAGGCAGGUGUGAGCUCCACCACUGUUCCUCAGCUUCUAAGUGAACAACAGCACAACACAGAAAUCACUUCAGGUCACGGGGAGGAUUAGAGUACAAGCAGGGAAACGAUCCUAGGUCGAUCAUACAGGCACCAAUUUACCACUGUGUUAGAGGGAUCAAUGUUAGGUAAGAUGAACUCAAAUCAAUAAUUAGGCACGUGCAGCAGGAGCAUGGGUCACGUCUUAGAGGAGAGGAAUGAUUUGUAGUAUGAGGCAACUAAUGAUUUUGGGAUGGGUAGAUGCUUCUAGAAAUAUGCCUUAAAAGCAUCUUUUACAUAGAGUAGAAGACAGUCAUAGCUGGCCAUGGUACCACCGGAAGCCAGAAGUAACUCCGGAAGUUACCGGAAGUAACUCAUGGGCCUGAAGUUGGUGGAGGUGAUUCAGCCCAACCUGAUUUGCUCUCUGGUUUUCCAGGGAUUAAGGCCUAUGGCAAAGAAGCACCCUGCCAGGGACGAGUAACUUCUAGGUCUCUAACUCUUGGUGUUAGCAGUAGGAUGGACAGGAAGGGAAGGGGGCUAUGCAACAAGCCAAGGAGUCAAGGGUGGGAGGAAGCAAAGGAAGAGGUGAUAAGUUCGGAUCAGAUGGCCUUGACAAAGGGAGGAGAUGACAGGAGACUUAGCAGGGCAAGGCUGACAGACGUUGACUUAAAAUACUGACCUCUGAGGUGGCUGCUCAUGCUUGUAGGUAAGAUUUUGGCCAGAACCACAACUAAAUCAGAAUGCUGAUGGAGUUUUCGCCUUGUUCGACCAGACUCUUAACUGUACGGCUUCCUUGGCUCGUUCAUUAUAAGGGAGCCGAGGUCAACUGCCUAACCCAUGUGCUGACCGCCUCUAGCAGUGAUUGCGGGAUGUGGUGCGCAAUGCUGGGUGUGAAUCCUGGCUCCAUCAUUCCUUCAGCUUCUCCAGGCUCCUCUCAAGGAGGUGAUACCUUCCCUGCUCCUGAUGGUGUGGCUGAGGGAGCUGAGUCAUCGUGGUGCAGAUCAGGGGUUGCGGAGGACCAGGAGCUUUCUCAGUUCUACCCCACCCCUUCCAAAGAGCAAAAGUCACUGCUCACCUGCCUUCUUCCUCAUGUAAGACGUUCUGUUGUGAAUGAAGCCAGAGGUGGCCCGCCAAGCCGACAGCCCACACGAUACACAGGAAUGUGUGUAUAGCAGAGAUACUCUUCCAAAUGAUGUUGCCUGAAAAUAGAUAUUCUGACACGGUCAGUCAUGGAAUCACAUCCCAGAGAAACAUGACCUCUCUGUAUCUGCUCUGCCAUAGUCUUUCAGCGGUGGUGAUUUGGCUCCAGAAGAACAGCUGACAAAUCAGGGCCGACAACUCAAUUCUGAGACGUCGGUGGAGAUAUCGGGAAGCAGAUCCUAUCUUCUGUUGGACUGAGCGGGCAGGAAGAAGUGAACUUUGACCUGCCGGGCUACCACGAGGGGCCCUGGACUGAAGUCCAUCGGCACAUGGUGGAACAGAGAGGUGCCGAGAGUUCUGAGCCAGUGCCUGAAGCGAGCACCACCCCUGCGUUUCUUUCAGUCACAUACCCCAGUACGUCUCCAUUCGAGCUCACAGCCCGUUUGAGUUCAGUGUUUUCCUUGCCGGCAACUAAUGGAGCCCAAACCACUGCACCUUAAAGAUGCGGACAAGAGUUCCCGGCGCCUGUACGAGGAGCGCGUGCAUCUAGGGGACACGAGUUUUCCCCAUCCAGCUGGGAGCCACUGGUCUUUAUUCUAAGGCCCUGAGGACUCACUGGCAAAGGAGCUGUUUUCACGACAGUGAAGAAUUACCCGUCAGGACCAACAGUCCCUGUUAAUAAGAAAAUGUUAGUAAACACAGUAAAAUGUAAUUUCUUUUUUGUUAUGAGACACGGUUUUAUGGUAUAAAACUGUCCACCUCAAGGUUCGUUGAGUUUUGGGGGCUGUAAAAGGUGAAGCGACUAUGUUUUGCCCGCAUCGAAGUAGGUAGCUUGUGGGCAACAUAGACCUGAUAUUUUAAGGGAAUUUCUUUAUAUGUAUACCCACCUGGCACAUUUUAUAUAUGUAUGUGAAAUGAAAAAAAAAUAUAUGUAUAUACAUGUGUGUGUAUACAUAUAUAUUUUUUUUCAUUCCAAGGAGCAGUUUAUAAAAUGUAUGAUAAAG